AGACAUCAUUACACAGAGGCCGAUAAAGGAUUAUAUAAACCAUAACAAUUAAAAAAAAUAGUCAGCCUUGCAACCUUGAAAUAUUUCUGUAAGUCAUCAGAGAAUGGCAGGGACCUGAUAUCUCCCAACGUCUUUACAACGAACUUGUUUUGUAACAUACCUAUUGGUCUGCAGUGAGGAUACGUUGAGAGCCAUUAUGCUACGGCAGCUGAGGACUCAGCCCAGGUGAGGCUUCCGCCUGAAAGAUGAGCUAAAGCCAGAGGGAAAUUCCAUCCAGGACCUCACAUGUGACUCGUUCCAAGGGCUCUGAAGACAGUGGAUGAAGAAGGAGAUGCAGAGAAGCCGAAGGCCCUGCUUAGACUGCCAUGAAGAGAGGAUUUGCACCCAGAUGGUUCUGCCUAGACCUUCAACAAAGCUCGCUUGGGUUUGAAGAUGAAUGCCAAUGGAGACAUACGUGUUGAUUAUUGACUCUGUGGCAAAGCAUCGUGGUUUGAUAACAGUAAAAGUCGGUUCUUUCCGAAACUCUCAGUCAUAAA
ensembl:lincRNA 1700066B17Rik RIKEN cDNA 1700066B17 gene